rfam:Tropicibacter litoreus R37 strain CECT 7639 genome assembly, contig: 0005
CGCCAACCGUUGGGGUGCCUGCAUUGGCUGAGAGGUGUCUACCACCAACCCAUCGAACCUGAUCCGGGCAAUUCCGGCGUAGGAAACGGUCUUAGUCACAGG